AAUUCUAAACCCUAAUGUCUCUCCUAUAUUCAGUUUCUUCACGCCGCCCCUCCAAUAUUCAGUUUCUUCUUCAAUUUCUUCAAGCCAAUAACGCUUCACGCCGGUGACUCUUCACGUCACCACAACGGUCUGCUCUUUGUUGCCUCUGCUCCUUCAACGAUCUGGUCUUCGUCGUCUCUGCCCCUUCAACAACCUGCUCUUCGGCCGCCUCUUUUGUUCGUGUCGAUCUGCUUCUACUCGGCAAUUCUGGUGUUCGUCAUCCCCUACUCCAUCACCGACCACAUCUGCUUCCCGGAGAAUGUCGAAUAUAAAUGAGGGUGUCAUUCAAAUUCAAUUGACUCAAGACUCACAAACAAGUCCAGUUUUGGAUAAUAUUGCUGAAAAUGAAAUGUUGAAAAAGAAGAAAAUGCAUCUAUGUUGCUUAUGUAUUUUGUAAUUUAUGUUUAGAUAAUUUGUUGUUGGAUUUAUCAGUUGUACUUUAAAUUUUAUUAUGUGUUUGAAAAAAAAUCAUUAUUAGGUAAAACUAA